rnacentral:rRNA from 1 species
AUGGCACCAAAGCUACGUGCAAUGACAUACAACAGCGAAGAAUUGGUCAGAGCUCAUCGAAGUGAAUCUUCAUUCCUUGAGCAGGUGGCUGUGAGGACAUCACCUAAAGGACAUCACUGCCUAGCACUGCGACUUACUUCAGAAUGUUUUUCUUUGGAUCCCAAGGAACGUGAGUUUCCAAAAAGAUCCAGUAUGGUGAUGGAUGACUUCCAUCAUUAUGCCAUAUUCUCGGACAAUAUACUAGCCGGUGCAGUGGUUAUCAACUCUACGAUUGCUACAUCAAAGGAUCCAAAAAGGAUAAUGUUUCAUGUUAUAACUGAUGCAUUGAGUUUUCCUGCAAUGAUGAUGUGGUUUCUGACAAAGCCACCAAGUCCUGCCACAAUUCAAAUUGAAAGCAUGGAUGAGUUGAAAUGGCUCCCUGUUGAUUUCAGUUCCAGAUUUAAGCAGAAGGGUAUUCGAGAUCCAAGAUACACUUCUGCACUAAACCACUUGCGCUUUUACUUGCCUGAAGUAUUCCCUUCUCUGAGCAACGUUCUACUCUUGGACCAUGAUGUUGUAGUCCAAAAAGACUUAAGUGGAUUGUGGCAGGUAGAUAUGAAGAGUAAAGUAAAUGGUGCUCUUGAGACAUGCAGUUCUGGCAAUGGCUACCAUCGAUUGGACAACCUUGUAAAUUUUUCUGAUCCAAGUAUCAUCAACAAAUUUGAUGCAAAGGCUUGCAUAUAUGCAUUUGGGAUGAACAUUUUUGACCUUAAGGAAUGGCGUAACAAGGGUUUAACUGCAGCUUAUGAUAAAUGGUUUCAGGCAGGCAAAAGGCGGAGAGUAUGGAAGGCAGGAAGCUUACCACUGGGGCAGCUUGUCUUCUACAACCAAACAGUGCCUCUUGACCACCGGUGGCAUGUUCUUGGGCUCGGUCAGAAUAGCAACACGGGAAGAGAAGAAAUCGAGAGGGCAGCUGUUAUCCACUAUAGCGGGAACCUUAAGCCCUGGUUGGAGAUCUCCAUCCCCAAGUACAAAGAGUACUGGAACAGGUUCCUUGGCUACGACAACACAUACUUGCAGCAGUGUAACAUCCACAAGUAG